UUUCGCAAUGCCCGAAAGGGUGACGAAGCGACGCCGCGUGAGUGAGGAAGGCCUUCGGGUUGUAAAGCUCUGUCAGGAGUUAAGAAAUAUAAGUGUGCUAAUACCACAUUUAUUUGACAAAAGCUCCAAAGGAAGCCACGGCUAACUCUGUGCCAGCAGCCGCGGUAAUACAGAGGUGGCAAGCGUUGUUCGGAAUUAUUGGGCGUAAAGAGCACGUAGGUGGGUUUGUAAGUCAGAUGUGAAAGCCUUCUGUUCAACGGAAGAAUUGCAUCUGAAACUGCGAGUCUUGAGUGUAGGAGGGGAGAAUGGAACUUCUGGUGGAGCGGUGAAAUGCGUAGAUAUCAGGAGGAACGCCGGCGGCGAAAGCGAUUCUCUGGCCUAUUACUGACACUCAGUGUGCGAAAGCUAGGGGAGCAAACGGGAUUAGAUACCCCGGUAGUCCUAGCUGUAAACGAUGGGCACUAAGUAGAGGGGUUUUA
rnacentral:rRNA from 1 species